rnacentral:rRNA from 1 species
GACGAACGCUGGCGGCGUGCUUAACACAUGCAAGUCGAACGGAAAGGCCCUGCUUUUGUGGGGUGCUCGAGUGGCGAACGGGUGAGUAACACGUGAGUAACCUGCCCUUGACUUUGGGAUAACUUCAGGAAACUGGGGCUAAUACCGGAUAGGAGCUCCUGCUGCAUGGUGGGGGUUGGAAAGUUUCGGCGGUUGGGGAUGGACUCGCGGCUUAUCAGCUUGUUGGUGGGGUAGUGGCUUACCAAGGCUUUGACGGGUAGCCGGCCUGAGAGGGUGACCGGCCACAUUGGGACUGAGAUACGGCCCAGACUCCUACGGGAGGCAGCAGUGGGGAAUAAUGCACAAUGGGCGGAAGCCUGAUGCAGCAACGCCGCGUGCGGGAUGACGGCCUUCGGGUUGUAAACCGCUUUCGCCUGUGACGAAGCGUGAGUGACGGUAAUGGGUAAAGAAGCACCGGCUAACUACGUGC